GGUCCUGUGGCGUAAUUGGAAGCGCGUCUGACUACGAAUCAGGAGGUUCCAGGUUCGAGCCCUGGCAGGAUCG